rnacentral:rRNA from 1 species
UGGUGUGUCGAUAGUGGUGGGGAAACACCCGGUUACAUCUCGAACCCGGCAGUUAAGCCCACUUACGGCGAAGGUAGUGCACGGGAGACUGUGUGUGAGACUAGCAAGAUGCACCUU